rnacentral:rRNA from 1 species
AUUCCAGCUCCAAUAGCGUAUAUUAAAGUUGUUGCAGUUAAAACGCUCGUAGUCGGAUUUCGGGGCGGGCCGACCGGUCUGCCGAUGGGUAUGCACUGGCCGGCGCGUCCUUCCACCCGGAGACCGCGCCUACUCUUAACUGAGCGGGCGCGGGAGACGGGUCUUUUACUUUGAAAAAAUCAGAGUGUUUCAAGCAGGCAGUCGCUCUUGCAUGGAUUAGCAUGGGAUAAUGAAAUAGGACUCUGGUGCUAUUUUGUUGGUUUCUAAGGCCGAGGUAAUGAUUAAUAGGGAUAGUUGGGGGCGUUUAUAUUCCGUUGUCAGAGGUGAAAUUCUUGGAUUUACGGAAGAUAAACUACUGCGAAAGCACUCGCCAAGGAUGUUUUCAUCA